CGCUUCGGUGACCUAAGUGAUUAAAGCUUUCGCCUCAGAUGCGAGAGGUCGCGGGUUUGAACCCCAGCCAAGUCA